rnacentral:rRNA from 1 species
GUGGGGAAUCUUAGACAAUGGGCGCAAGCCUGAUCUAGCCAUGCCGCGUGAGCGAUGAAGGCCUUAGGGUUGUAAAGCUCUUUCGUGGGGGAAGAUAAUGACUGUACCCCAAGAAGAAGCCCCGGCUAACUCCGUGCCAGCAGCCGCGGUAAUACGGAGGGGGCUAGCGUUGUUCGGAAUUACUGGGCGUAAAGCGCACGUAGGCGGACUGGAAAGUCAGGGGUGAAAUCCCGGGGCUCAACCCCGGAACUGCCUUUGAAACUCCCAGUCUUGAGGUCGAGAGAGGUGAGUGGAAUUCCGAGUGUAGAGGUGAAAUUCGUAGAUAUUCGGAGGAACACCAGUGGCGAGGGCGGCUCACUGGCUCGAUACUGACGCUGAGGUGCGAAAGCGUGGGGAGCAAACAGGAUUAGAAACCCCUGUAGUCC